AGGUGAUCCAACCGCAGGUUCCCCUACGGUUACCUUGUUACGACUUCACCCCAGUCAUGAAUCACAAAGUGGUAAGCGCCCUCCCGAAGGUUAAGCUACCUACUUCUUUUGCAACCCACUCCCAUGGUGUGACGGGCGGUGUGUACAAGGCCCGGGAACGUAUUCACCGUGGCAUUCUGAUCCACGAUUACUAGCGAUUCCGACUUCAUGGAGUCGAGUUGCAGACUCCAAUCCGGACUACGACGCACUUUAUGAGGUCCGCUUGCUCUCGCGAGGUCGCUUCUCUUUGUAUGCGCCAUUGUAGCACGUGUGUAGCCCUGGUCGUAAGGGCCAUGAUGACUUGACGUCAUCCCCACCUUCCUCCAGUUUAUCACUGGCAGUCUCCUUUGAGUUCCCGGCCGGACCGCUGGCAACAAAGGAUAAGGGUUGCGCUCGUUUGCGGGGACUUAACCCAACAUUUCACAACACGAGCUGACGACAGCCAUGCAGCACCUGUCUCACAGUUCCCGAAGGCACCAAUCCAUCUCUGGAAAGUUCUGUGGAUGUCAAGACCAGGUAAGGUUCUUCGCGUUGCAUCGAAUUAAACCACAUGCUCCACCGCUUGUGCGGGCCCCCGUCAAUUCAUUUGAGUUUUAACCUUGCGGCCGUACUCCCCAGGCGGUCGACUUAACGCGUUAGCUCCGGAAGCCACGCCUCAAGGGCACAACCUCCAAGUCGACAUCGUUUACGGCGUGGACUACCAGGGUAUCUAAUCCUGUUUGCUCCCCACGCUUUCGCACCUGAGCGUCAGUCUUCGUCCAGGGGGCCGCCUUCGCCACCGGUAUUCCUCCAGAUCUCUACGCAUUUCACCGCUACACCUGGAAUUCUACCCCCCUCUACGAGACUCAAGCUUGCCAGUAUCAGAUGCAGUUCCCAGGUUGAGCCCGGGGAUUUCACAUCUGACUUAACAAACCGCCUGCGUGCGCUUUACGCCCAGUAAUUCCGAUUAACGCUUGCACCCUCCGUAUUACCGCGGCUGCUGGCACGGAGUUAGCCGGUGCUUCUUCUGCGGGUAACGUCAAUGAGCAAAGGUAUUAACUUUACUCCCUUCCUCCCCGCUGAAAGUACUUUACAACCCGAAGGCCUUCUUCAUACACGCGGCAUGGCUGCAUCAGGCUUGCGCCCAUUGUGCAAUAUUCCCCACUGCUGCCUCCCGUAGGAGUCUGGACCGUGUCUCAGUUCCAGUGUGGCUGGUCAUCCUCUCAGACCAGCUAGGGAUCGUCGCCUUGGUGAGCCGUUACCCCACCAACAAGCUAAUCCCAUCUGGGCACAUCCGAUGGCAAGAGGCCCGAAGGUCCCCCUCUUUGGUCUUGCGACGUUAUGCGGUAUUAGCUACCGUUUCCAGUAGUUAUCCCCCUCCAUCAGGCAGUUUCCCAGACAUUACUCACCCGUCCGCCACUCGUCAGCAAAGAAGCAAGCUUCUUCCUGUUACCGUUCGACUUGCAUGUGUUAGGCCUGCCGCCAGCGUUCAAUCUGAGCCAUGAUCAAACUCU
rnacentral:rRNA from 1 species